CAGUCGCCGCGGUAAUACGGAGGAUCCAAGCGUUAUCCGGAAUCAUUGGGUUUAAAGGGUCCGUAGGCGGUCUUGUAAGUCAGUGGUGAAAGCCCAUCGCUCAACGGUGGAACGGCCAUUGAUACUGCAGGACUUGAAUUAUUGGGAAGUAACUAGAAUAUGUAGUGUAGCGGUGAAAUGCUUAGAGAUUACAUGGAAUACCAAUUGCGAAGGCAGGUUACUACCAAUUGAUUGACGCUGAUGGACGAAAGCGUGGGUAGCGAACAGGAUUAGAGACCCCCGUAGUCCCUGUCUCUUAUAC
rnacentral:rRNA from 1 species